rnacentral:rRNA from 1 species
GGGUGAUAGCUGGUUGCCUGCAAGAUGAAUUUAAGUUCCCUUCUAACCCCUUCCCCUAAGAAAAACCAACCAAACCCCUAUGUAACAGGCUAGAAGCUAUUUAAAGGGGGUACAGCCCCUUUAAAAAAGGAUACAACCUCUACUAGCGGAUAAUCUACCACCUCCUACAACCCCCGUGGGCCCUAAAGCAGCCACCCACAAAGAGUGCGUCAAAGCUCCAUAGACCACAAAAAAAUCUAAAAACAAUGUAAAUCCCUACCCCCUAGCAGGCCAACCUAUAACAAUAGAUGAACCAAUGCUAAAAUGAGUAAUUAGGAUACUAAACUUCCCCCAAGCGCCAACUUGCACACCAUUAAACAGUACCACCACAAUACUACCCCCCCGACCAAAUAUUGAACAUACCCUGUCAAACCAACCCAGGAGCGCACACUAGGGUGAUUAAAAUCUGCAAAAGGAACUCGGCAAACUCAAGGCCCGACUGUUUACCAAAAACAUAGCCUUCAGCAAGACAAGUAUUGAAGGUGAUGCCUGCCCAGUGACAGCACGUUUAACGGCCGCGGUAUCCUAACCGUGCAAAGGUAGCGCAAUCAAUUGUCCCAUAAAUCGAGACCUGUAUGAACGGCUAAACGAGGUCUUAACUGUCUCCUGCAGAUAAUCAAUGAAAUUGAUCUCUUUGUACAAAAGCAAAGAUAAACCCAUAAGACGAGAAGACCCUGUGGAACUUCAAAAUCAAUGACCACCACACC